rnacentral:lncRNA from 1 species
ACAUUGACCACUGGUGGGGUGAACUUGUCUAUGAAACAGAUGAGGACGUUGGGCUCUCUCAGUUCCACAGGGCUGUUUGUGAGCACAGUUACCUCUGGAGCGCUUUGUCAUGAUUUCCAGGUUGGCUUUGUCCACAGCUAUGUUGGCCAAUGCACCUUGAGCCUCAAAGCUGGCAAAUCGUCCAAAUUCUUCAAGCCGCCAGACCGUCUCCUUCUUUGCCAUAUCCACAUGGAAAAUCUCAUCAGCACAGCUAUGAUGAAAAAUCCUAGCACAGGGACUCCACUUAUGGCCAUUUUCUUCUUGGGCGCUCUGUUGGGAGUCAGUAGAGCUCGGGAGUGAGGCA